CUCUCCCAGAUAUGAGAAGCUACAGGGAGCAAGGGUUUUUGAGCAGAUGGGUUUGCAGCUGCUGGAUCCUGGACAUCACAAGCAGAACCACAGGGACAUGGUGGAGUAGAUUGAUUACUUAAGCUGUUGCUGUUUGUUUAUCCUUGUCUCCUGGGGCUGCAGGUGGCCUUUCUCGGGUGAGGACAGAGGCCUCAGGCCCUGCAGUAGGGAAGAUCUCGGAGUCUGUCUCGCUCACCUGUCACAUCUCUGGUGUAGCCAUCACUGACAGCAGCUACGCGUGGGACUGGAUCCGGCAGACUCCUGGCAAAGAGCUGCAGCACUUGGUGAUGCAGUAUCCUUUCACACAGCUCCAGCACAUCGCUGCACCCUUCCAGACCCGAGUCAACAGCUCUGCAGACCCCUCCAGGAACCAGCUGUGGCUGCAACUGCUCUCACCAGCAGCUGCAGACACAGCCACCUAUUUCUGCAGCAUGAGAGAACUUGAAAAGGGCACAGUGCUUGAAACACAGGCAGGGCCGGCACAGAAUUGGAAGGAGGGACAACUCUGUGCACACAUUUCAAAAACUUCCAACCCUGACGUCAUUGUGAUGAAAUCAAAGAAACUGGAAGAAGGUGGCAGCCCUGGGAAAGCAGCUUGUUUGGCAAGGAAUAUUCAGACAAAGAGCAUCAGCUUGGAGAUGCCCUCUAAGGAGGUCGUAUAUGAACAGAGCACAUCCAUUUUGACAUCAGAGGGGCUGUACAAUGCAAUUAAAGUGGUCAGUGUGACAAACGACACAGAGGUGACCUGCACGGCCAAAUUGGACAACAGCACGAUGACAGCACAGCCAGAGGUCAUUGUGGAGAAAUCAACUAAAGCAGAAGAUUUAACCACCACUGGAAAAACAACACCUUUGCCAACGACAAAGAACUUGGAGACGUCCACUAUGGAACAGAACACAUCUGCUUCGACAACAGAGGUGAUGUGCACGGACAAGUUUGACAGCAACGUGGUAACAAUUCUGCCAGAUGCUGAAGGGCACAGAGUGAACAUGCUGUCCAUGGCUGUGCUGGGUUUCAGAGUCCUGCUGGCAAAGAGCAUCGCCAUCAACACCCUCAUGAGUAUCAAGCUGUUCCUUCUCUGAGUCAUGGGGAAUGAAGGCAAGAGGAGCCCAAGGAAGAGCAGGAAAGAACGUGAACCAGCAGCACAAGGGGCUUGAACAAGCAGGGCCAGAGCAGCGACAGAGACCAGCCAGGACACAAGGCAGCAGCUUCCCCUGGAGACACUGAACACUGUUCACUCCUGCCUGGCCAGAUGAUUCACACUGAACAGUUUUAAAUGCUUUUGCUGUUUGCUCUGCACUGAGAACUGAGGGGAGUGGAUUUAUCCUCAUCCUCCAGCUGAGUAAUCUCCCCACUCCUGUGGCAUUUGCACACAAGUGUCCAAGCUGCUUCAAUAGCUUUGAAAACUCCAAUGCUCUCUCUAGAUAUCUGGGCUUCUAAAAGCACCUUUGCCAGGCAUGUUGUGUUACUGCCUGUGCCACUGCAGUAGUGCUGCUGAGGGAAUUCAAGCCCAUUGCUUUAGUAAGCCUGUAUUUCUUAUGCCAAAUAUAUCUCAUGUGUAUUAUACACUCCUGUAGAAGUGACAAAA